rnacentral:rRNA from 1 species
CCCUUAGAUGUUCUGGGCCGCACGCGCGCUACACUGAUGCAUUCAACGAGUUUCUUCCUGGUCCGAGAGGAAUGGGUAACCUUUUGAAAGUGCAUCGUGAUAGGGAUAGACUAUUGCAAUUAUUGGUCUUCAACGAGGAAUUCCUAGUAAACGCAAGUCAUCAACUUGCAUUGAUUACGUCCCUGCCCUUUGUACACACCGCCCGUCGCACCUACCGAUUGAAUGGUCCGGUGAAGCCUCCGGAUUGGCGCGCACCUCGGUGCCGCCGAGAAGUUGGCUAAACCUUACCAUUUAGAGGAAGGUGAAGUCGUAACA